rnacentral:lncRNA from 1 species
CGACCACUGGCGCAGCGCGUCGGUGGCGGCGACCUUGGCCGCACUGCGUGCGUCGCGGACCCUCUUGCGCUCGGCGUCGUCUUUUCGGCCGUUAUCGUUGUCCCUGCGCUUGCGCUCCUCCUUGGCCUUGCGUUUAUUGUUGUUGCCGUCGGCAUGACGGUCACCGUGUUUGCGGCGCCUCUCGCGCUCUGCGCUGUUUUUCGAGCGGCGGUGACGUGCCGCCUUGGCCGCUGAGACCGCGAGCGGACCCUCCCACGGGAGACCCAUGGAGAUGCCGUUGGUCG